rnacentral:rRNA from 1 species
GACGAACGCUGGCGGCGUGCUUAACACAUGCAAGUCGAACGGAAAGGCCCUGCUUUUGUGGGGUGCUCGAGUGGCGAACGGGUGAGUAACACGUGAGUAACCUGCCCUUGACUUUGGGAUAACUUCAGGAAACUGGGGCUAAUACCGGAUAGGAGCUCCUGCUGCAUGGUGGGGGUUGGAAAGUUUCGGCGGUUGGGGAUGGACUCGCGGCUUAUCAGCUUGUUGGUGGGGUAGUGGCUUACUAAGGCUUUGACGGGUAGCCGGCCUGAGAGGGUGACCGGCCACAUUGGGACUGAGAUACGGCCCAGACUCCUACGGGAGGCAGCAGUGGGGAAUAUUGCACAAUGGGCGGAAGCCUGAUGCAGCAACGCCGCGUGCGGGAUGACGGCCUUCGGGUUGUAAACCGCUUUCGCCUGUGACGAAGCGUGAGUGACGGUAAUGGGUAAAGAAGCACCAGCUAACUACGUG